rnacentral:rRNA from 1 species
AAUCAACGCUGGCGGCGUGCCUCAGACAUGCAAGUCGAACGCGAAAGGUUCCUUCGGGAACCGAGUAGAGUGGCGCACGGGUGAGUAACACGUAGGUAAUUUGCCUUUGGGUGGGGAAUAACAGCCGGAAACGGCUGCUAAUACCGCAUAAUGCAGCGGCUCGGACAUCGAGACAGUUGUUAAAGCGGGGGGAUCGCAAGACCUCGCGCCUAAAGAGAAGCCUGCGGCAGAUUAGCUAGUUGGUAGGGUAAUGGCCUACCAAGGCGACGAUCUGUAACCGGCCUGAGAGGGCGGUCGGUCACACUGGACACUGACAUACGGGUCAGACUCCUACGGGAGGCAGCAGUCGGGAAUUUUGGGCAAUGGGCGAAAGCCUGACCCAGCAACGCCGCGUGAAGGAU